GACGAACGCUGGCGGCGUGCUUAACACAUGCAAGUCGAGCGGUAAGGCCCUUUCGGGGGUACACGAGCGGCGAACGGGUGAGUAACACGUGGGUGACCUGCCCUUAGCUCUGGGAUAAGCCUGGGAAACUGGGUCUAAUACCGGAUAUGACUCCAUGACGCAUGUUGUGGGGUGGAAAGCCUUGUGCGGCUAGGGAUGGGCCUGCGGCCUAUCAGCUUGUUGGUGGGGUGAUGGCCUACCAAGGCGACGACGGGUAGCCGGCCUGAGAGGGCGACCGGCCACACUGGGACUGAGACACGGCCCAGACUCCUACGGGAGGCAGCAGUGGGGAAUCUUGCGCAAUGGGCGAAAGCCUGACGCAGCGACGCCGCGUGGGGGAUGACGGCCUC
rnacentral:rRNA from 1 species